rnacentral:miRNA from 1 species
GAAAGAGAGCUGAGUGUG